rnacentral:tRNA from 1 species
GCUUAGUUAGCUCAGUUGGUAGUGCGUCUGCCUUGUAAGCGCUAGGCCGCGGGUUCGAUUCCCGCCCGGGGCG